AACCAUGAAACUUAAAACCUUGGACAACAAUUGUAGUUUCUUAUAAGCACAAUACCAUGCAUUCGUUCCGUGUUUCACCCUGAAAAAUAAUGACAACAUCCGUCUGUGAAGAAUGUCUUGCAACGGCUGAAUUUUUAGCCUCCAUAGUUCAAAACUUAAUCUGCGUUCCAGUAUUUCAACCAUCAUAUAUGAAAAGAUUGCAAUAUGAGUUUUUAAAGAGUAUCUAAAAGAUUAUGCACAGCGUAAGAAUUGGCUUUAGCCGUCUCAAGAAACGCAAACCUAUACAGAAUCGGAGUUUCGGUAUUCGCAGGUGCAAUAUGUAUUCUUUCAACUCUUUCGAUAUGUCGAAAGUUGCUUCACAAAAUAUAGAUUCUGCAUGUGAAUGGAUACCAUUGAUGAAAAGUGCGUCAUUUGCUGGUGUCGGAUGAUUUCCUGCGCUUUUAAGACUGUGCAUAAAAAGCGAAAUCUUUUGCUGAAGUUUAACCUUUAUAUUCCACAAAGGCUCGGAUUUAUCACCUACAAGUUCCCCACAUUUCAAAGCUUGGAGUAUAUUGAGACAUCAGUACUUUGUAAAUAAGUCUAAAGAAGAAACAAGAGCUUGUCAAAGGUUAUAUAUUUUCAUUCAAAUUAGUCGCUAAGUUUAACAAGUAUUUGCGCAUUUCUGGAGCUAGUUCACAAACCCUUAUUUUAUGGAGUUAUUCGAAAUAUUCGAAAUUAUAAGGAUGUCUUUCAGAUGUUUAAUUGAAGAAUUUUGGAAAAGUAAAAUGUAAUGUUAAAAUUAGGAAUUCAAUUAUUACAAUUUAAUUGUUCAUGCGUUAAUGUAUAUUUGCGAAACUUGAAAUCUUUCAAUUCAAGUUAAACAUUUUAAUUACGUUUUACAAAUCCAAAGCUCGAAUCAAAAAUAGACUCAAUAAGAUUUCAAUUCAGAAAUCUUGAGUCUAACUUUUAAGGCUAAACUAUUCAAAUACAGUAAAGAAAGUUUGCAAAACUUUCGCAGCACUGCGAAAAUGUCGAUUGCAGAACUAACGAGAAUCAAUAUUUGGUGUUAAAACUUUAUUUGGAUGCUCCGUGCAUCUUGCUUGCACUUAGGCUGUUUUUUACUUUUUCUUUAUAAAUCGGGAACACCAAUGCCCCUUUCAAUUAAGAUGCACAUUACAUUUUUACACACUAGUGAAUCUAUUCAAGUGGAUAUAAUGUAGUUUUCGUAUUUAAUGACACCACUGAAAUAUCUAAUGUGUGCAUUCUAAACUAAGAUGGAUUGUGGAGUGGCCAGCAAUAGUUUCAAUCAUAAAAAUUUCAAUUAUUUUGUUUAGUUACCAAUUAUUGGCACCAACUAUUUAUUCUACUCCAAACAUGAAUAUUAAGGAGAUUCUGCGAGCGAUAAUACGGUUUGAAUCCAUGAAUGAACUCAACGUCAUUGAAACCGUGUUAAGAAAAUCAUGUUAAACUAUCGACUUUAAAUCUGAUGCUCAUUAGUCGGCAGAAACUUACCAACAAAAAGUAAUCCAAAGAACUCCGUGAAAGUAAAUUUUGCUAAGUCUCUGAAACAUUUCAUGUAAUUGCAAUCGCGUGUUAAAGCGAAAGAUAAUCAGAUAACUUUAAAUUUAAUUGUUUUAAAAAAUCGGCUAGUCUUCCAUUGUUGAAAGUAUGAAGCUUGGCUUCUUUAUAAAGCUAAAGAAAUGAAUACCUUGCUGAUGCUAUUGGGCAAGCCUUAAACAAUGAAUAGAGCUUGGGUGGAUAGCUUAUUGGAAGUAUAGGAUCAUUUAUACAGCGAGUGUCAUAGAUUCCUAUUAGUAAGACAAAUUUAAAAAUUUAACAUGGCUAGACAAGUUUCACUAAUAUUUUACAGAACUAAUACUUUUUAACACAACAAACACGUUUUUAGGGGUAUCAGGGAUACUUCUUAUUUUCUAUUUGUAUAAAGAAAGCGGGUCGUGAGCGUUUUAUGUUCUUAAAUGGGCUUUCCAAAAAUAAAAUUUGGAUUCGAAAUGGGGUUUCAGGGAGCGAUAAGAUGUUGGGAAGAAAGACGUGAAGAAAAACUGACCACCCUUUCCCCAAAUGGAGAAAUGUGGAGGGCAGGGGAAGUACCAGCCGGCUGGUAAGAGGGAGGGAAGAUCACUGGCUUCGGUUCAGCAGUCGAUCCCCGUGCAUUAUAAAGAAGCUUAACUUAUACUUUCGGCUUUGGAAAUGAAGAAAAUAUAAUAAGAUUAGGAAUGAAAACAUAACUGACAAAUUAACCGAUAUCGCUUGUUAAUGACAAUCCGUUUGUCUGGCAGUAAAUUUUAAUAUUUUUUUAAGCAAUAUUAGUAGAAACAUCGGUUUAAUGUCAUUAGUCUUAAUUUUCACCAAAUGCUUUCUUGUAAGAUAAUUAUUAAAUAUUUUUAAAUUGGAUAUUUUAUAGGGGCUUUUUGGA